rfam:Angiostrongylus costaricensis strain Costa Rica genome assembly, scaffold: ACOC_scaffold0002234
GCAGCGAUGUUCGAGUGGUUAAGGAGAUUGAGAUGAAAUCAAUUCGGCUCUGAUCGCCUAGGUUCGAAUCCUGCUCGCUGCG